rnacentral:rRNA from 1 species
ACUGCGAUACGUAAUGCGAAUUGCAGGAUUCAGUGAGUCAUCGAAAUUUUGAACGCAUAUUGCACUUCCGGGUUAGUCCUGGGAGUAUGCCUGUAUCAGUGUCCGUA